rnacentral:lncRNA from 7 species
ACAUUUUCUCGCAUGCCUGGACACGACAGAACCGUUUGGUAGGACACAGACAUGAGUGUGACAGCUUGAAAUCCCCAGUCCAUGGAAGAAGCAAUCAAUUUUCAUCUUCCUCAUUGAUGAGCUCCUCUGCAGUAUGAGGUUAUAUAGGCCGUUUGUGUGGAAAGCCUUCAUUUCUGGCUGCCAUGUUGAAGAACCUUGGGAAGACUUGACUUCUUUCAUGCUCAUCAGUUCCAAAAACCUGACCUCCUUAGAGGAUGUCGUGGGGCAGAGCUGGGCCAAUGUGCAGCUGUGAGCGUGAGCGCGGUGAGCGGGCAGCACGUGCCGUGCCAGCUGUGCCCAACGCGCACCGGCAGCCCUCCAGCAAACGUCCCAUUGUGCUGUGCAUGCUUACUGGAAAGUGGCUUUGCGAGCAGAGCUAUUUCAACCAGCUGCUGGGGAACUUCAUGGAGUGCUGCAGGACCUCAGCGCACAGAGGUUGUCAUGCUGUGACCUGGGGGAGAACAAUGAGGGAAGCACAAAGGUUACCCAGAAAAUUGGUCAAUGGAGAAAGAAGGGCUGAGCCUCUUGCUGCAGCCUGCAGGACAUGGGGACGUCGCACCCAGCUCUCUCUCUGCACAGCAGUUCUGACUUUCCUCCCAUUUCCCUGUGCUGACCUUCCACCAGGAUUGACUGGUAGCCCGUGUCCACUGGCUGCACUAUUUGGACAGUAGUUGUCUCCUUUGGAUUUCUUACUUCUUUCAGCAGCAUGAUGAAAAUGCAACUUUGUGGCCUGCAUGACAAAGAAUUUCCCAAAACCUCUGGAUUUAAUAAUAAUAAUUAAAAAACCCUACAAAAG